rnacentral:rRNA from 1 species
CCUACGGGAGGCAGCAGUGGGGAAUAUUGCACAAUGGGGGAAACCCUGAUGCAGCGACGCCGCGUGAGUGAAGAAGUAAUUCGUUAUGUAAAGCUCUAUCAGCAGGGAAGAAAAUGACGGUACUUGAGUAAGAAGCCCCGGCUAACUCCGUGCCAGCAGCCGCGGUAAUACGUAGGGGGCAAGCGUUAUCCGGAUUUACUGGGUGUAAAGGGAGCGUAGACGGCAGUGCAAGUCUGGAGUGAAAGGCGGGGGCUCAACCCCCGGACUGCUCUGGAAACUGUACGGCUGGAGUGCAGGAGAGGUAAGUGGAAUUCCAGGUGUAGGAGUGAAAUGCGUAGAUAUCUGGAGGAACAUCGGUGGCGAAGGCGGCUAUCUGGCACAUAACUGACGCUGAGGAGCGAAAGCGUGGGGAGCAAACAGGAUUAGAUACCCUGGUAGUC